CAUUUUUUGACAAAUUUGUCAUAAUGUACUAUGAAAAUCUAUCCAAUACAUCAAGAAGAAAAGUCGAGAAAGGAACCACAGUAAAUGAUUAUUUUAGAUGCAUUAUGGCUACAGCAAAUGCCAGAUUACAUUCCAUGUACCUUAUGCCAAAUAUCUUCCAUGUGGAUGUUCUAUUUUGUAGUAUAUUAUCCCAUGAUUGUUUGCUUAUCUUCUGCAUACAGUUCACAUGGAUUGUAUUUAUGAGCAAAUGUCAUUCUCCAAUGAUACUUAAGUAAUAUAACUAAAUAUUUAUCUUCUAGCUAAUAAACCUUUUUGAAUUUUAUAAAGACUUGUGCUUACUCAAUUUGAACAUAAAACUAAUAGUACUCACGCAAUUUUCAAUCAUAUCAACAAUUGUUUUCUCUUCAUCCGUUUCACCACCUUAAUUAAACAAAUAAUAUUUUAUAGUAGUAUUUCAAUAAUUUAUUUAGCCAAUUUUGAGACUUACUUAGACCUAUUUAUAACUGUUAAAUAUGUAAUGCAAUCAGUUAAAUAUUGAAACUGAUCAUAUACUUACACAGAUUAUGUUUUCUUGCAAUAUAACGUAUAAUCUACAUUGAAUGUUGAGCAUUUCAGAAUAAUUUACACAAAAAAUAUUGUGAAGUAAAUAUUUGUUAAGGGAUCCAUUACUUCAUGUUAUACUUACUGCA